GAUGAACGCUGGCGGCGUGCUUAACACAUGCAAGUCGAACGGUGAAGGCGGAGCUUGCUCUGCUGGAUCAGUGGCGAACGGGUGAGUAACACGUGAGCAAUCUGCCCCUGACUCUGGGAUAAGCGCUGGAAACGGCGUCUAAUACUGGAUACGAGCUGCGAAGGCAUCUUCAGCAGCUGGAAAGAACUUCGGUCAGGGAUGAGCUCGCGGCCUAUCAGCUUGUUGGUGAGGUAACGGCUCACCAAGGCGUCGACGGGUAGCCGGCCUGAGAGGGUGACCGGCCACACUGGGACUGAGACACGGCCCAGACUCCUACGGGAGGCAGCAGUGGGGAAUAUUGCACAAUGGGCGAAAGCCUGAUGCAGCAACGCCGCGUGAGGGACGACGGCCUUCGUGUUGUAAACCUCUUUUAGCAGGGAAGAAGCGAAAGUGACGGUACCUGCAGAAAAAGCGCCGGCUAACUACGUG
rnacentral:rRNA from 1 species